rnacentral:lncRNA from 1 species
AUGGGCAGUAACUUAACAGCCACCCCUCAGGCGCAGCACAAGAUGGAGGGUGGAUUCCUUCUGGAUGUUGUAGUCAGACAGGGAGCGCCCAUCUUCCAGCUGCUUCUCAGCGAAGAUCAGCCUCUGCUGGUCUGGGGGGAUGCCCUCCUUGUCCUGGAUCUGGGCCUUCACAUUCUCAAUGGUGUCACUGGGCUCGACCUCGAGGGUGAUGGUCUUGCCAGUCAGGGUCUUCACACAGAUCUGCAUACCACCCCUCAGGCGCAGCACAAGAUGGAGGGUGGAUUCCUUCUGGAUGUUGUAGUCAGACAGGGAGCGCCCAUCUUCCAGCUGCUUCUCAGCGAAGAUCAGCCUCUGCUGGUCUGGGGGGAUGCCCUCCUUGUCCUGGAUCUGGGCCUUCACAUUCUCAAUGGUGUCACUGGGCUCGACCUCGAGGGUGAUGGUCUUGCCAGUCAGGGUCUUCACACAGAUCUGCAUACCACCCCUCAGGCGCAGCACAAGAUGGAGGGUGGAUUCCUUCUGGAUGUUGUAGUCAGACAGGGAGCGCCCAUCUUCCAGCUGCUUCUCAGCGAAGAUCAGCCUCUGCUGGUCUGGGGGGAUGCCCUCCUUGUCCUGGAUCUUGGCCUUCACAUUCUCAAUGGUGUCACUUGGUUCCACCUCGAGGGUGAUGGUCUUGCCAGUCAGGGUCUUCACAAAGAUCUGCAUACCACCCCUCAGGCGCAGCACAAGAUGCAGAGUGGACUCCUUCUGGAUGUUGUAGUCAGACAGGGUGCGCCCGUCUUCCAGCUGCUUCCCAGCAAAGAUCAACCCCUGCUGGUCAGGGGGGAUGCCCUCCUUGUCCUGGAUCUUGGCCUUCACAUUCUCAAUAGUAUCGCUGGGCUCAACCUCAAGGGUGAUGGUCUUGCCAGUCAGGGUCUUCACAAAGAUCUGCAUACCACCCCUCAGGCGCAGCACAAGAUGCAGAGUGGAUUCCUUCUGGAUGUUGUAGUCAGACAGGGUGCGCCCAUCUUCCAGCUGCUUCCCAGCGAAGAUCAGCCUCUGCUGGUCAGGGGGGAUGCCUUCCUUAUCCUGGAUCUUGGCCUUCACGUUCUCAAUGGUGUCACUGGGCUCGACCUCGAGGGUGAUGGUCUUGCCAGUCAGGGUCUUCACAAAGAUCUGCAUACCGCCUCUGAGACGCAGCACAAGAUGGAGGGUGGAUUCCUUCUGGAUGUUGUAGUCAGACAGGGUGCGCCCGUCUUCCAGCUGCUUGCCAGCGAAGAUCAGCCUCUGCUGGUCUGGGGGGAUACCCUCCUUGUCCUGGAUCUUGGCCUUCACGUUCUCAAUAGUAUCACUGGGCUCGACCUCGAGGGUGAUGGUCUUGCCAGUCAGGGUCUUCACAAAGAUCUGCAUGUUGAACUACAAAACAUACAGAAAAUUUACGUUUAG